AACGAACGCUGGCGGCGUGCUUAACACAUGCAAGUCGAACGGGUUUAAUGGAUGUAGCAAUACAUUCAUUAAAUUAGUGGCGCACGGGUGAGUAACACGUAGGUAACCUACCCUUCAGUGGGGGACAACAGAGGGAAACUUCUGCUAAUACCGCAUACGAUCACGGACUGGGGAUGUUCGUGGUGAAAGGAUUUAUUCGCUGAGGGAUGGGCCUGCGGCCUAUCAGGUAGUUGGUGAGGUAAUGGCUCACCAAGCCUGCGACGGGUAGCCGGACUGAGAGGUCGAUCGGCCACACUGGAACUGAGACACGGUCCAGACUCCUACGGGAGGCAGCAGUGGGGAAUAUUGCACAAUGGGGGAAACCCUGAUGCAGCGACGCCGCGUGGAGGAUGACGGCCUUGGUUGUAACUCCUUUUGUCAGGGACAAUGGUGAUGGUACCUGACGAAUAAGCCACGGCUAACUCUGUGCCAGCAGCCGCGGUAAAACGUAGGACGU
rnacentral:rRNA from 1 species